GAAUCUGCUUAAGCAAAUUAAAAUUAUUUUAUUUUGCUUAUUUAAUUAAAAAUAUAAAAUAUUUUAAUUACAAAAAAAUAAAAAUAAAUAAUAUUAUAUUAAUUAAUAAAGGGAACCCUAUCAAUUAGUGGCGGCAAUAUAAUGAUAAGCUUUUUGGCUUGGGGGGAAUGAAAACCUUAAAAUUAAAAAUUCCCUCCUUACAGCCGCUACUGAUUCAUUCUCACUCAUGAUUCAUUCAGUUUUCAAUUUCUGUCCACUAUCAAAAGGAGAAGCUCCCACUAUCAAAUCCAAUCAGAAGCAAACAUCAUGGCUCGACGAUGCAAGUUGCGGAAAGGGAAUUCCAUCAAUAUUAACUUGGAAAAUGAGACUGAAAAUAAUGUUAACCAGAACUUUCAAGAAACUCAAGAGUUAUACCAAAAUCAGGCUUCAAAUUUUCAAGGGAAUACUAGUUAGAAGACAAUGAGGUAUCAUUAUGAAGGUCAUUUUAUAUUUUCACCAAAUAGAAUAUAUGAAAAUGGUAGGUUCAUGGAGAAACCUAAUUUUGAUGUUGAUUUCAUCUCAUUUUUUGAUAUAUUGGAUGACUUGAAAAAGGAUUGUGGAUUUGAUGUUAUAAAAGGAGAUAAAUUUUAUUACUUGAAGGCUGAUAAAUCUCUUAGUGAUCUUGAUGCAUUGAUAGAGGUUAAAGAUGAUACAGAUGUGAAAAAUAUGAUGGAUAGUUAUAAGAAGUUCCCUUCGAAACCCAUUGAUAUAUACACUCUAUUUCGAGAUUAUGAUAUUUUACCAAAUGGACUUGGUGACGAGCUACCCGCAAUUACUGUUGAUCACACUUCUAAUCAACUUCAAAAUCCAAAUGCAACUGCAGCAACAGGUUUACUCAUUUAAUUUUAUUUAAACAAUUGAUUAUGUUUACUUGUUCUAUGUACAGAAAUUCUUGUUAUUAUAUGAUUAUUGUUUUACUUUUAUUUUGAAAUAGGUUCCAAUAUAAUUAAAAGAAAAACUAGAGGACCAACACGAUGCUUGAAAAUCACACAAUUGGAGAAUGGACAAAAAUUGCCAGUAGAAUUUGAUGAAGAUGAUCAAGCUAUUGGUGAUAAUGCUACUGCAUUUGUUUGGUUUUUAGGACAAAUUAUUAGAAGUGUGUCGUGUUGUCCAUUGCAAGUGAAACAAUGGAAUAAGAUUACCGAUGAUAAGCUCGACCUUAUGUGGUCUACCAUAUUAGUACGAAAAUUUAUAUUAAAUUACAUCCAUUAUAAAAUGAUUAUAAUUUUUUUAGUUCUAUUAAGUAUCAUAAUAUUUAUUUCUUACUUCUUUGCUAAAAGGAAAGUUCACUUUUGAGUAUUCUGAUGCAAGAAAGGGAGCAAUUUUCGGUCAUAUGAAUGCAUUAUAUAGGAAUUAUAGGCAUAAGUUGAAGAAGAAGUACUUUGAUUCAAAGGCAACUUAUUCACU